GGGAAUAUUGAAUUAAUUAGCAUAAUAAAUAAGGAAUAAAAGUAAAAAAAAAAACCCUUCAACAACAUUUUCCUUUCAUUUUUCUCAAAAACCAUUUGAAAAGCUCUCCAAAUUCUCUCACCCCAUCCAAUUCUUCAGCAACCGGACCAGAGCUUCGUCCCCGUCUGUCGUUUUGCCGCCGUCGUUGGCCACCACGUGCAGUGGCCGAAGUUAAAAAAGUAAGUUUUUUUGUAUUUUUAUUCUUUUUAACAGAUAUACAUAGUAAAGAGUGGUCAGAUCCAAAAAAGAAAUGAAAAAAAGAAGAAAAAAGAAAAGAAUCAAAACAACAACCUUGGUAACUUUAGAUUCUACAAAAUUGCCUUGUAUGUUUGCUGUCUUCCCGAUUUGUGUGACCGUCUGAGUUCGAUCUCUGCUUUUAUUUGUUUUGGGUAUUUAAAAUCUUGGUAUUUGGUGUUAAAUCUUGUGUUUAUAUUGAAUCCAUCUUUUUUUUGCCUUGUUACAAUCUUUGGCUUUUAUAGCCUUUAUUUUUACAGGUACAAAAAUGAAAUUAUGGCGAACGUGGAGCCAUUGGAGCUGACAUGGGCGAGAGGCGACAUGGGGGAAACCGACGUGGGUGCGCGAACAUGGAGGACGUGCGUGGGAAGGCUUGCGGCGGAUGCAACAGAAAAGGGUGUUAGGGUUUUUCUCUUCUUUUUGAUUUAAGGUUAAAUAUUUAGGUCUAGGGUUAAUUUAGGGCUUGAGUAAUUUGAGCUUCAAAAUUGGGUUAAUUUUAUUUUGUUUUUGAUUUGAUUUUGAGUCUAUUUUUAGUCUUUGGGGUUUGUUUUUGGUUUAAAAAUUUGGGCUUUUAUGGUAAAUAGGCCCGGGCAAAAAUUUGUACCCACAAAGAUAAUAAUAAUAAUAAUAAUAAUAAUAAUAGUAAUAAUAUGUAUUAAAUGGUAAAAGAAUAAUAGUAACAAUAAUUUUUUUUAAAAAUGAUAAUAGUAAUAAAAAUAAAAAUAAUAGUAGUGAUAAUAAUAAUAAUAAUAAUAAUAAUAAUAAAUAGUAAUAAUAAUACAUUAAUAAUAAUAUGUUUAUAACAAUAAAUUAAUGAAUUAAUAACAUAACAGUAAGUAAAUAAACAUAAAAAUAAAAUAAUUAUAAUAGUAAUAUUAACAAAAUAAUAAUAAUAAUAAUAAUAAUAAUAAUAAUAAAAUGAUAACAAUGAUAUUAAUAAAAUAAUAGAAAAUAAUAAUACAUUAAUAAUAAUAUAUGUUAAUAACAAUAAUAAUAUAUAAAAUAAUAAUAUGGUAAAAAAUAAUAAUAAUGUAUUAAUAAGAAUGAUAAUAAUAAAAUAAGAUUAUAAUAAUAGUAUUAAUAAAAAUAGACAUAAAAAGAUAGUAAUAAUGGUAACAAUAAGAGCGUUAAUAAUAAUAAUAUUGAGAUACAAAAAAGUAAAUAUAAUAAAAUAUUAAAAUAAAGUAAUAAAAAAUAAUACUAUAUAUAAAUAUAUAUACAUAUACGUAUAUAAUAAAAAGUAUACACUAAUAUAUAAUAAUAAUAAUAACAAUAAUAAUAAUAAUAAUAAUAGUAAUAUUGAAAUACAAAAAGCAAAUAUAAUAAAAAUAUUAAAAUAAAGUAAUAAAAAAUAAUACUAUAUACAAAAUAUAUAUGCAUAUACGUAUAUAAUAAAAAGUAUACACUAAUAUAUAAUAAUAAUAUUUAAUAAAGAAACAAAAAUAAACAAGAAAUGACUAAAAUUGAACUAAAAAUAGAGUUUUGGGGCAAAUUUAAAAGAAAUAAAGGGAAAAGGAUCAAAAUGCAAUACGCGCGUAAUCUGGAAGGACCGAAACAAAAAUUAUUCUUUCCCCUCAAAACGCAGCGCGGCAUGGGGGACCGAAUUGCAGAGCAUAACGAAUUUCGGGACCAAAUUAAAAUAAAUAGAAACUUGAUUGCAGAACAGAAAAAAGCGGAAGAGCCUAAUGCGCAAAUAGACCAUUAAGUAAAAAACACGUGGAUCCUGAGGCGGGUUCGGGUCGGACGAAUCGGGUCAUGGGUUAAGGGCCAAAACGACGUCGUUUUGGGGCUUAUGGACGCCGGCUAAAACGACGUCGUUUUGCAUGGUCUAUAUAAGUUAAAAAAUGAGAAAAGAAAAUCAUUUGUAAUCAAUUUUUUGAAAAAAAAGUUUCUUUCUUUUGUUUUCUCUCUGUAGGUACUUGCUCUGGCGAGGGCCCUGGCCACUCCCCGCCAUCGGCCACCGCGUACGGUGGCCGAAAAUCUAAAAAG
rnacentral:lncRNA from 1 species